rnacentral:rRNA from 1 species
CAACGUGGAUAACCUGCCUCAAGGCUGGGGAUAACAUUUGGAAACAGAUGCUAAUACCGAAUAAAACUUAGUAUCGCAUGAUAUCAAGUUAAAAGGCGCUACGGCGUCACCUAGAGAUGGAUCCGCGGUGCAUUAGUUAGUUGGUGGGGUAAAGGCUUACCAAGACGAUGAUGCAUAGCCGAGUUGAGAGACUGAUCGGCCACAUUGGGACUGAGACACGGCCCAAACUCCUACGGGAGGCAGCAG